rnacentral:rRNA from 1 species
AACGAACGCUGGCGGCAUGCCUAACACAUGCAAGUCGAACGAGACCUUCGGGUCUAGUGGCGCACGGGUGCGUAACGCGUGGGAACCUGCCCUUAGGUUCGGAAUAACUCCCCGAAAGGGGUGCUAAUACCGGAUAAUGUCUUCGGACCAAAGAUUUAUCGCCUUUGGAUGGGCCCGCGUUGGAUUAGCUAGUUGGUAGGGUAAAAGCCUACCAAGGCGACGAUCCAUAGCUGGUCUGAGAGGAUGAUCAGCCACACUGGGACUGAGACACGGCCCAGACUCCUACGGGAGGCAGCAGUGGGGAAUAUUGUACAAUGGGCGAAAGCCUGAUCCAGCCAUGCCGCGUGAGUGAUGAAGGCCUUAGGGUUGUAAAGCUCUUUUACCCGGGAUGAUAAUGACAGUACCGGGAGAAUAAGCUCCGGCUAACUCCGUG